GCCCUUAGAGUUUGAUCCUGGCUCAGGAUGAACGCUGGCGGCGUGCCUAACACAUGCAAGUCGAGCGAUUCUCUUCGGAGAAGAGCGGCGGACGGGUGAGUAACGCGUGGGUAACCUGCCCUGUACACACGGAUAACAUACCGAAAGGUAUGCUAAUACGGGAUAACAUAAGAAAUUCGCAUGUUUUUCUUAUCAAAGCUCCGGCGGUAUAGGAUGGACCCGCGUCUGAUUAGCUAGUUGGUGAGGUAACGGCUCACCAAGGCGACGAUCAGUAGCCGACCUGAGAGGGUGAUCGGCCACAUUGGAACUGAGACACGGUCCAAACUCCUACGGGAGGCAGCAGUGGGGAAUAUUGCACAAUGGGCGAAAGCCUGAUGCAGCAACGCCGCGUGAGCGAUGAAGGCCUUCGGGUCGUAAAGCUCUGUCCUCAAGGAAGAUAAAGACGGUACUGAGGAGGAAGCCCCGGCUACUCU
rnacentral:rRNA from 1 species